UGGCUCUGGCAUCGAUGAAGAACGCAGCGAAAUGCGAUAAGUAGUGUGAAUUGCAGAAUUCAGUGAAUCAUCGAAUCUUUGAACGCACAUUGCGCCCUAUGGCACCCCAUAGGGCAUGCCUGUUCGAGCGUUAUUUGACCACUUCAAGCAUUGCUUGGUGUUGGGUGUUUGUCCGCAGUAGUUCUCUGGACUCGCCUUGAAUAUAUUGGCAGCCGGCAUAGUUAGUUUUUAGAGUGCAGCACAAUUGCGCCCUAGACUCGUGUCGCUCCCCAAAAGUAUAUUGUCAUGAUUGACCUCGGAUCAGGUAGGGAUACCCGCUGA
rnacentral:misc_RNA from 1 species